rnacentral:rRNA from 1 species
AAGUCGAACGGUAACAGGAAACAGCUUGCUGUUUCGCUGACGAGUGGCGGACGGGUGAGUAAUGUCUGGGAAACUGCCUGAUGGAGGGGGAUAACUACUGGAAACGGUAGCUAAUACCGCAUAACGUCGCAAGACCAAAGAGGGGGACCUUCGGGCCUCUUGCCAUCAGAUGUGCCCAGAUGGGAUUA